UACGUAGGGGGCGAGCGUUGUCCGGAUUUAUUGGGCGUAAAGAGCUCGUAGGCUGUUCGAUAAGUCGGGUGUGAAACCUCCAGGCUCAACCUGGAGACGCCACCCGAUACUGUCAUGACUAGAGUCCGGUAGGGGAGCGUGGAAUUCCUGGUGUAGCGGUGAAAUGCGUAGAUAUCGAGAGGAACACCUGCGGCGAAGGCGGGUUGCUGGGCUGACACUGACGCUGAGGCGCGAAAGCCAGGGGAGCGAACGGG
rnacentral:rRNA from 1 species